UACGUAGGGGGCAAGCGUUGUCCGGAUUUAUUGGGCGUAAAGAGCGUGUAGGCGGUCAGGUAGGUCCGUUGUGAAAACUCGAGGCUCAACCUCGAGACGCCGAUGGAAACCAUCUGACUAGAGUCCGGAAGAGGAGAGUGGAAUUCCUGGUGUAGCGGUGAAAUGCGCAGAUAUCAGGAGGAAUACCGAUGGCGAAGGCAGGUCUCUGGGCUGACACUGACGCUCAUGCACGAAAGCGUGGGGAGCAAACAGG
rnacentral:rRNA from 1 species